rnacentral:rRNA from 1 species
AUGCGGAGGGUGCAAGCGUUAUUCGGAAUCACUGGGCGUAAAGGACGCGUAGGCGGGUUGGCAAGUCAGAUGUGAAAUCCUACAGCUUAACUGUAGAACUGCAUUUGAAACUGCUAACCUAGAGUAUGGGAGGGGGAGAUGGAAUUGGUGGUGUAGGGGUAAAAUCCGUAGAUAUCACUAGGAAUACCGAAAGCGAAGGCGAUCUCCUGGAACAUAACUGACGCUAAGGCGUGAAAGCGUGGGGAGCAAACAGGAUUAGAAACCCUAGUAGUCC